CGGGGCGUAGCGCAGCCUGGUAGCGUACAUCCAUGGGGUGCAGGUGGUCGGAGGUUCGAAUCCUCUCGCCCCGACCA
rnacentral:tRNA from 1 species